rfam:Lepisosteus oculatus linkage group LG12, whole genome shotgun sequence.
CCUCACGUUGAGCCAGACGUACAAUACCUGAAGACGAAGUUUUGUUCGUUCGGCUCGCGUUAAGC